UACGUAGGGCGCAAGCGUUGUCCGGAAUUAUUGGGCGUAAAGAGCUCGUAGGUGGCGUGUCGCGUCUGCCGUGAAAGUCCAAGGCUCAACCUUGGGAUGCGGGUGGAUACUGCCGGGCUAGAGUCCGGAAGAGGCGAGUGGAAUUCCUGGUGUAGCGGUGGAAUGCGCAGAUAUCAGGAGGAACACCGAUAGCGAAGGCAGCUCGCUGGGACGGUACUGACGCUAAGGCGCGAAAGCGUGGGGAGCGAACAGG
rnacentral:rRNA from 1 species